rnacentral:lncRNA from 1 species
UCAUAUUCCUGACUUGGUGCAGGCAUUUUCUAAUGUAGAAAUUGAUGGAUUGAUCCUGGUUUUAAAGCUAGCUAAACCUUCACUUGUACGGAAGUCGCAUCAAAUUCCAUAAUAUUGACAACGGUGCGUGAACGAAACAACAGACAUAUUAGGAAAACAUGUCACAAAUAGGGGUACAGCAGUCAACAUUGUGUUAUAAUCGUUAUCACUAAAAACAAACCAAUAUGUAACACAGAAGCACAAAAUGGUAUCAAGACCAAGCAUAAUAGUAAAAGUCAAAUGACAAGAAUACACAAAUUAACUAUAGUACAAUAACACAUUGACGGGAUGUAUAAGU